GCGUCUGUAGCUCAGGUGGAUAGAGCAGCGGUUUCCUAAACCGCGUGCCGGGGGUUCGAGUCCCUCCAGGCGCA
rfam:Moorella thermoacetica ATCC 39073, complete genome.